UCGCCUCUCUCUCAAUCCUCUCUAAACCCUUAUUUUUGAAUCUCACAUUCAAAUCUCACAGAUUCAUUGAUUUCGAAGUUCCACCUCCACCACAAUCUGCACCAGCCAGGUAGCGAGAUUCACCGAUUCACCGAUUUCACAGAUUCACCGAUUCAAAUCUCGCAGAUUCACCGGUUUCAGAUCGAUCUGCACCGCCACCGCGAUUUCGAUUCAGAUCGGUCUGCACUGUCACCCGAUUUCGAUUCUCUCUCUAGAUUUCUCUCUCAGAGAUUCAUCUUUGAUUUCAUCUUAAAGCGAUUUCGAUUUCUCUCUCUCUCGAUUUCAAAGCUCCACCGCCACCACCAUCUAUGCAAGCUUCCAUGGCUUAGCACCUCAUCUCCUUAUCUCUUCCACUUUGUAUAUACAUAUACAUAUAUGUAUAUUUAUCGAUUCUCUCAUGUACAUACACGUAUCUGUAUAGACACCGAUCGAUAAUGGAGCAGAGCUUCUUCGAUUUGAUCUAUUUUCUACACUGCCCAGCUCCCGAAUGGGUAAAAAGUUAUUGAUGGAAUUUUAGGCAAAAUAUGUUCCUAAUAUGGUUGUAUUUAGGCUUUGUUUCACAGGAGGAAAGGAAGUUCAUAAAACAACAAUGUGCUGCAUGCAAAAUUUGGCAAAAGCUUUCUCAAGCUAUGAGUUGGAAGUACUGGUUAAGCGGGAAGGGCUGCUUCAAUAUGCUCAAGGUGCUAUUGCAGGGCUGAAACUAAAUUCUGAUAUUGCAAGGUUGUUAACAUUUAUUGUCUGUUGUGUGAGUUGGGUGUUAAAGUGUCAUUGUUUUUCCUUUUAGAAUGAAGUUCACAUAUAUUUGUCUUAGAUUCAAUAUGUAAGUGUCAACGUGCAUGUGCCCAUAUCUAUUGAGGCGUGUUCCUGUGUCUACCAAGGGGGCAGUUCUCCUAUAUGCUUUGACUAUACUAAUGUUGUCCUUGUAAUUCGUAACUUAUUAGUUUUUUGUUGUACUUAUUGAAAUGUUGAAUUUUUUGAGUUA